rnacentral:piRNA from 1 species
UAGACUUGAGUUAGAACGGUU